UGGGGAAUAUUGGACAAUGGGCGCAAGCCUGAUCCAGCCAUGCCGCGUGAGUGAUGAAGGCCUUAGGGUUGUAAAGCUCUUUCGCCGGUGAAGAUAAUGACGGUAACCGGAGAAGAAGCCCCGGCUAACUUCGUGCCAGCAGCCGCGGUAAUACGAAGGGGGCUAGCGUUGCUCGGAAUCACUGGGCGUAAAGCGCACGUAGGCGGAUCGUUAAGUCAGGGGUGAAAUCCUGGAGCUCAACUCCAGAACUGCCCUUGAUACUGGCGAUCUCGAGUUCGAGAGAGGUUGGUGGAACUCCGAGUGUAGAGGUGAAAUUCGUAGAUAUUCGGAAGAACACCAGUGGCGAAGGCGGCCAACUGGCUCGAUACUGACGCUGAGGUGCGAAAGCGUGGGGAGCAAAACAGGAUUAGACACCCUGGUAGUCCACGCCGUAAACGAUGGAUGCUAGCCGUUGGGGGGUUUACCUCUCAGUGGCGCAGCUAACGCCUUAAGCAUCCCGCCUGGGGAGUACGGUCGCAAGAUUAAAACUUAAAUGAAUUGACGGGGUCAUAGCUGUUUCC
rnacentral:rRNA from 1 species